CGGUAGGCUUAACACAUGCAAGUCGUGCGAGAAAGUAUCUUCGGAUAUGAGUAGAGCGGCGGACGGGUGAGUAACGCGUAGGAAUCUACCUAGUAGAAGGGGAUAGCCCGGGGAAACUCGGAUUAAUACCGUAUACCUCCUUUGGGAGAAAGAAGGCCUCUCUUUGAAGCUUUCGCUAUUAGAUGAGCCUGCGUAAGAUUAGCUUGUUGGUGAGGUAAAGGCUCACCAAGGCGACGAUCUUUAGCGGGUCUGAGAGGACGAUCCGCCACAUUGGGACUGAGACACGGCCCAGACUCCUACGGGAGGCAGCAGUGGGGAAUAUUGGACAAUGGGCGCAAGCCUGAUCCAGCCAUACCGCGUGUGUGAAGAAGGCCCUAGGGUUGUAAAGCACUUUAAGUUGGGAAGAAAAGUUAUUGGUUAAUACCCAAUGACCGUGACAUUACCUUCAGAAUAAGGACCGGCUAAUUCCGUGCCAGCAGCCGCGGUAAUACGGAAGGUCCAAGCGUUAAUCGGAAUUACUGGGCGUAAAGCGCGCGUAGGUGGUUUAUUAAGUUGGAUGUGAAAUCCCCGGGCUCAACCUGGGAACUGCAUCCAAAACUGAUUCACUAGAGUACGAUAGAGGGAGGUAGAAUUCACAGUGUAGCGGUGGAAUGCGUAGAUAUUGUGAAGAAUACCAAUGGCGAAGGCAGCCUCCUGGAUCUGUACUGACACUGAGGUGCGAAAGCGUGGGUAGCGAACAGGAUUAGAUACCCUGGUAGUCCACGCCGUAAACGAUGUCAACUAGCUGUUGGAAAACUAUGUUUUUCAGUGGCGCAGCUAACGUAGUAAGUUGACCGCCUGGGGAGUACGGCCGCA
rnacentral:rRNA from 1 species